UACAGAGGGGGCAAGCGUUGUUCGGAAUUACUGGGCGUAAAGGGCGCGUAGGCGGCCUUCUAAGUCGAACGUGAAAUCCCCGGGCUCAACCCGGGAACUGCGUCCGAUACUGGAAGGCUUGAAUCCGGGAGAGGGAUGCGGAAUUCCAGGUGUAGCGGUGAAAUGCGUAGAUAUCUGGAGGAACACCGGUGGCGAAGGCGGCAUCCUGGACCGGCAUUGACGCUGAGGCGCGAAAGCCAGGGGAGCAAACAGG
rnacentral:rRNA from 1 species